UACAGAGGUCUCAAGCGUUGUUCGGAUUCAUUGGGCGUAAAGGGUGCGUAGGCGGCGCGGUAAGUCGGGUGUGAAAUCUCGGAGCUUAACUCCGAAACUGCAUUCGAUACUGCCGUGCUUGAGGACUGGAGAGGAGACUGAAAUUUACGGUGUAGCGGUGAAAUGCGUAGAUAUCGUAAGGAAGACCAGUGGCGAAGGCGGGUCUCUGGACAGUUCCUGACGCUGAGGCACGAAGGUCAGGGGAGCAAACGGG
rnacentral:rRNA from 1 species